CGGCUGUGAUGAUUUCCUACUUGCCGUUUACCCGUCUGAGGAAAACCGUGCUUGACGAUUUUGGAAAAUUAGGCUGAGCCA
rnacentral:snoRNA from 18 species